GACGAACGCUGGCGGCGUGCUUAACACAUGCAAGUCGAACGGUGAAGCGCUUUCCUUUUUGGUUGGUGUGGAUGAGUGGCGAACGGGUGAGUAACACGUGAGUAACCUGCCCCCUUCUUCUGGAUAACCGCAUGAAAGUGUGGCUAAUACGGGAUAUUCUGCGCCUGCUGCAUGGUGGGUGUGGGAAAGAUUGUGCCUUUGGGUGUUUUCGGUGGGGGAUGGGCUCGCGGCCUAUCAGCUUGUUGGUGGGGUGAUGGCCUACCAAGGCGGUGACGGGUAGCCGGCCUGAGAGGGUGGACGGUCACACUGGGACUGAGACACGGCGCAGACUCCUACGGGAGGCAGCAGUGGGGAAUAUUGCACAAUGGGCGCAAGCCUGAUGCAGCGACGCCGCGUGAGGGAUGGAGGCCUUCGGGUUGUGAACCUCUUUCGCCAGUGAAGCAGGCCUGCUCCUUGUGGGUGGGUUGACGGUAGCUGGAUAAGAAGCGCCGGCUAACUACGUG
rnacentral:rRNA from 1 species